rnacentral:rRNA from 1 species
AGUGAACGCUGGCGGUAGGCCUAACACAUGCAAGUCGAACGGCAGCACAGUAAGAGCUUGCUCUUACGGGUGGCGAGUGGCGGACGGGUGAGGAAUACAUCGGAAUCUACUUUUUCGUGGGGGAUAACGUAGGGAAACUUACGCUAAUACCGCAUACGACCUACGGGUGAAAGCAGGGGAUCUUCGGACCUUGCGCGAUUCAAUGAGCCGAUGUCGGAUUAGCUAGUUGGCGGGGUAAAGGCCCACCAAGGCGACGAUCCGUAGCUGGUCUGAGAGGAUGAUCAGCCACACUGGAACUGAGACACGGUCCAGACUCCUACGGGAGGCAGCAGUAGGGAAUAUUGGACAAUGGGCGCAAGCCUGAUCCAGCCACACCGCGUGGGUGAAGAAGGCCUUCGGGUUGUAAAGCCCUUUUGUUGGGAAAGAAAAGCAGCAGGUUAAUACCCCGCUGUUCUGACGGUACCCAAAGAAUAAGCCCCGGCUAACUUCGUG